rnacentral:rRNA from 1 species
ACAAUGGAGAGUUUGAUCCUGGCUCAGGAUGAACGCUGGCUACAGGCUUAACACAUGCAAGUCGAGGGGCAGCAUGCCGGUUGCUUGCAACCGGUGAUGGCGACCGGCGCACGGGUGAGUAACGCGUAUCCAACCUUCCCGCGACCAAGGGAUAACCUGCCGAAAGGCAGACUAAUACCUUAUGUCCUCCUUUGAAGGCAUCUGACGAGGAGCAAAGAUCCGUCGGUCACGGAUGGGGAUGCGUCCGAUUAGCUUGUUGGCGGGGCAACGGCCCACCAAGGCAUCGAUCGGUAGGGGUUCUGAGAGGAAGGCCCCCCACACUGGAACUGAGACACGGUCCAGACU